rnacentral:rRNA from 1 species
GUGGGGAAUAUUGGACAAUGGGGGGAACCCUGAUCCAGCCAUGCCGCGUGUGUGAAGAAGGCCUUUUGGUUGUAAAGCACUUUAAGCGAGGAGGAGGCUACCGAGAUUAAUACUCUUGGAUAGUGGACGUUACUCGCAGAAUAAGCACCGGCUAACUCUGUGCCAGCAGCCGCGGUAAUACAGAGGGUGCAAGCGUUAAUCGGAUUUACUGGGCGUCAAGCGCGCGUAGGUGGCCAAUUAAGUCAAAUGUGAAAUCCCCGAGCUUAACUUGGGAAUUGCAUUCGAUACUGGUUGGCUAGAGUAUGGGAGAGGAUGGUAGAAUUCCAGGUGUAGCGGUGAAAUGCGUAGAGAUCUGGAGGAAUACCGAUGGCGAAGGCAGCCAUCUGGCCUAAUACUGACACUGAGGUGCGAAAGCAUGGGGAGCAAACAGGAUUAGAAACCCUGGUAGUCC